rnacentral:lncRNA from 1 species
UAGGUUUGGAAGUCACCAAGUUUCAGUGCGGGGAGGUUCCGGGCAGCAAGUAGUUAGGCGGCUGCUCCACCCGCUUGCCCCAGGCCCCAGACGUCUGGCACCAGGCGUCAGCACCAGGGAUUCCAGAUGAAGGUUCCAGCGAAAGCUUUAGAAGGGCUUCAAACCGAGCUCCGGGAGGCCCUGACAUUUUUUAUCAGGACAUCAGCUAGAAGGGCCUUUUCCUGGAGAACAUUACAGUUGGAAAUAACUAAAUAAGUGAAACUUUCGAAGGGGGAUAUGGUUAACAAGACACACAGAUUGGGAAGAAAAAUAAGUAAUUUGAGAGGAGGUGGGAGUGUGUGUAGAAGCUUUGUUGCAGCUGGAAGGUGCUAGGAUGAGAACUCACGACAAAGAGCUGCGGGUGGGAAGAGCCCAGCCAGGUGCUGUCUGCGAUUCAGUAUCCUCUGAACAUCAGCUCCACACAGCCAGGGGCAAACAGUUUCCUUCACAAGUUAGAACUUUAAGUUUGGAGACUCUUCUUAAAUUUCACUGAAGUGGAGUGAGAACUGAAGUGGUGGCAAAAAAGGAUGCUCAGGGCACUGCACAUGAGAGAGAAGUCUCAACAGCUGCAGAGGAACCUCCACUUCCCUCCCUCUUCUGCCCCAUCCUCCCUGCAUCUACUGGCUGCCCAGCGCUUGACACGACUCAGCUCAGGGAGCAGGAUCGGGGAAAGGAGCCCUCCUGCCUAACCCUCAACGCAGAAAGAGCAGCGGCUGCGCCAGGACUCCCCAUGAAGUGAAGUGGAAACGAUUUCACAGCAAAUGGGGUGGAUGGCCAGGGGCUCCUGUCAGGUCUGAGACCCGGGGCCGGGAGUGGGCUGGGCAUGUGAGCAGGGCCCCAAACCAUGGGCAUUGGUUCCUGCUUCCUCUACUGUUUCUAUUUUGGCACCUGCUUGAAAGCAGUUCUUCAUCAUCUGGCUAGAUUGUCACAGUUUGGGGUAAAAGAGAAAUAAAACAGGCA